GGGGAAUUAGCUCAGUUGGCUAGAGCGCUUCGCUGGCAGCGAAGAGGUCAUCGGUUCGAAUCCGUUAUUCUCCA
rnacentral:tRNA from 1 species